AUUACCGCGGCUGCUGGCACGAAGUUAGCCGGGGCUUAUUCUCCUGGUACCGUCAUUAUCUUCCCAGGUAAAAGAGCUUUACAACCCUAAGGCCUUCAUCACUCACGCGGCAUGGCUGGUAUCAGGCUUGCGCCCAUUGUCCAAUAUUCCCCACUGCUGCCUCCCGUAGG
rnacentral:rRNA from 1 species